rnacentral:rRNA from 1 species
UUUGAUAGCCCACUACACCCGCUAUCCGCCCGGGUACUACGAGCACUAGCUUAAAACCCAAAGGACUUGGCGGUGCUUUAGACCCCCCUAGAGGAGCCUGUUCUAGAACCGAUAACCCCCGUUAAACCUCACCCUCUCUUGUUCUUCCCGCCUAUAUACCGCCGUCGUCAGCUUACCCUGUGAAGGAACCACAGUAAGCAGUACUAGUACAACUCAAAACGCCAGGUCGAGGUGUAGCAUAUGAGAGGGGAAGAAAUGGGCUACAUUCCCUACCACAGGGAACACGAACAAUGUAAUGAAAUAUACAUUAGAAGGAGGAUUUAGCAGUAAGCAGAAAAUAGAGCG